rnacentral:rRNA from 1 species
AUGGCGUCGUCCACCGCGGCCGCGGCGCUCACCUGCCUCCACCCGGCCGCGCAGGCCUCGCGGCUCCCUCGGGCCGCCACCGCCUGCUUCGCGCGCCUCCCGGCGGCCCACCCGGGGUCGGGGUCCUGGGGCAGGGCGGCGGUCUCCGUCGCGGCGCCGCGGCGCCGCAGGCGGGCGCCCGGCGUCGUCUACGCCGCCGCCACCACGGAGAAGAGCAUCUACGACUUCACCGUGAAGGAUAUUGAUGGAAAAAAUGUUUCUCUUAGCAAGUUCAAGGGAAAAGCACUGUUGAUUGUUAAUGUUGCUUCUCAAUGUGGGCUUACAACAGCAAAUUACACUGAGCUAUCUCAUCUUUACGAGAAGUACAAGACUCAAGGGUUUGAGAUUUUGGCGUUUCCAUGCAAUCAAUUUGGUUUUCAAGAACCUGGAUCAAAUACACAGAUAAAGCAAUUUGCUUGUACAAGGUUUAAAGCUGAAUUUCCUAUUUUUGAUAAGGUUGAUGUCAAUGGACCAUUUACAGCCCCUAUUUAUAAGUUUCUCAAGUCGAGUGCUGGAGGAUUUUUGGGUGAUAUAGUGAAGUGGAACUUUGAGAAGUUCCUAGUGGACAAAAAUGGCAAAGUUGUGGAGAGAUACCCACCAACAACUUCACCAUUCCAAAUUGAGGACAUCCAGAAACUCACUGCGGCAUAA